AGAGUUUGAUCCUGGCUCAGAGCGAACGCUGGCGGCAGGCUUAACACAUGCAAGUCGAGCGGACCUUUCGGGGUCAGCGGCGGACGGGUGAGUAACGCGUGGGAACGUGCCUUCCGGUUCGGAAUAACCCUGGGAAACUAGGGCUAAUACCGGAUACGCCCUUAUGGGGAAAGGUUUACUGCCGGAAGAUCGGCCCGCGUCUGAUUAGCUAGUUGGUGGGGUAACGGCCUACCAAGGCGACGAUCAGUAGCUGGUCUGAGAGGAUGAUCAGCCACACUGGGACUGAGACACGGCCCAGACUCCUACGGGAGGCAGCAGUGGGGAAUAUUGGACAAUGGGCGCAAGCCUGAUCCAGCCAUGCCGCGUGAGUGAUGAAGGCCUUAGGGUUGUAAAGCUCUUUUAUCCGGGACGAUAAUGACGGUACCGGAGGAAUAAGCCCCGGCUAACUUCGUGA
rnacentral:rRNA from 1 species